rnacentral:rRNA from 1 species
GACGAACGCUGGCGGCGUGCUUACUACAUGCAAGUCGAACGCUGAAGCUUGGUGCUUGCUCUUGGUGGCUGAGUGGCGAACGGGUGGGUAAUACGUGAGUAACCUGCCCUUGACUCUGGGAUAACCCUGGGAAACUGGGUCUAAUACUGGAUACGACAUGUCACCGCAUGGUGCCGUGUAGAAAGGGCUUUACUGGUUUUGGAAGGGCUCACGGCCUAUCAGCUUGUUGGUGGGGUAAUGGCUCACCAAGGCGACGACGGGUAGCCGGCCUGAGAGGGUGACCGGCCACACUGGGACUGAGGAAGGGCCCAGACUCGUACGGGAGGCAGCAGGGGGGAAUAUUGCACAAUGGGCGGGAGCCUGAUGCAGCGACGCCGCGUGAGGGAUGACGGCCUUCGGGUUGUAAACCUCUUUCAGCACGGAAGAAGCGAAAGUGACGGUACGUGCAGAAGAAGCGCCGGCUAACUACGUG